rnacentral:rRNA from 1 species
GUGAGGAAUUUUGCGCAAUGGGGGCAACCCUGACGCAGCGACGCCGCGUGGAGGACGAAGUCUUUCGGGAUGUAAACUCCUGUCAGUGGGGACGAUAAUGACGGUACCCACAGAGGAAGCACCGGCUAACUCCGUGCCAGCAGCCGCGGUAAGACGGAGGGUGCAAGCGUUGUUCGGAAUUACUGGGCGUAAAGCGUAUGUAGGCGGCAAGUUAAGUUCAAUGUUAAAGCCCACGGCUCAACCGAGGAGAUGCAUUGAAUAGUGGCUAGCUAGAGGGUGUUAGAGGAAGACGGAAUUCACAGUGUAGCGGUGAAAUGCGUAGAUAUUGGGAGGAACAUCGGUAGCGAAAGCGGUCUUCUGGGACAUACCUGACGCUGAGGUACGAAAGCGUGGGGAGCAAACGGGAUUAGAAACCCGGGUAGUCC